GAUGAACGCUGGCGGCGUGCCUAAUACAUGCAAGUCGAGCGAACGGACGAGAAGCUUGCUUUUCUGAUGUUAGCGGCGGACGGGUGAGUAACACGUGGAUAACCUACCUAUAAGACUGGGAUAACUUCGGGAAACCGGAGCUAAUACCGGAUAAUAUUUUGAACCGCAUGGUUCAAAAGUGAAAGACGGUCUUGCUGUCACUUAUAGAUGGAUCCGCGCUGCAUUAGCUAGUUGGUAAGGUAACGGCUUACCAAGGCAACGAUGCAUAGCCGACCUGAGAGGGUGAUCGGCCACACUGGAACUGAGACACGGUCCAGACUCCUACGGGAGGCAGCAGUAGGGAAUCUUCCGCAAUGGGCGAAAGCCUGACGGAGCAACGCCGCGUGAGUGAUGAAGGUCUUCGGAUCGUAAAACUCUGUUAUUAGGGAAGAACAUAUGUGUAAGUAACUGUGCACAUCUUGACGGUACCUAAUCAGAAAGCCACGGCUAACUACGUGCCAGCAGCCGCGGUAAUACGUAGGUGGCAAGCGUUAUCCGGAAUUAUUGGGCGUAAAGCGCGCGUAGGCGGUUUUUUAAGUCUGAUGUGAAAGCCCACGGCUCAAUCGUGGAGGGUCAUUGGAAACUGGAAAACUUGAGUGCAGAAGAGGAAAGUGGAAUUCCAUGUGUAGCGGUGAAAUGCGCAGAGAUAUGGAGGAACACCAGUGGCGAAGGCGACUUUCUGGUCUGUAACUGACGCUGAUGUGCGAAAGCGUGGGGAUCAAACAGGAUUAGAUACCCUGGUAGUCCACGCCGUAAACGAUGAGUGCUAAGUGUUAGGGGGUUUCCGCCCCUUAGUGCUGCAGCUAACGCAUUAAGCACUCCGCCUGGGGAGUACGACCGCAAGGUUGAAACUCAAAGGAAUUGACGGGGACCCGCACAAGCGGUGGAGCAUGUGGUUUAAUUCGAAGCAACGCGAAGAACCUUACCAAAUCUUGACAUCCUUUGACAACUCUAGAGAUAGAGCCUUCCCCUUCGGGGGACAAAGUGACAGGUGGUGCAUGGUUGUCGUCAGCUCGUGUCGUGAGAUGUUGGGUUAAGUCCCGCAACGAGCGCAACCCUUAAGCUUAGCUGCCAUCAUUAAGUUGGGCACUCUAAGUUGACUGCCGGUGACAAACCGGAGGAAGGUGGGGAUGACGUCAAAUCAUCAUGCCCCUUAUGAUUUGGGCUACACACGUGCUACAAUGGACAAUACAAAGGGCAGCGAAACCGCGAGGUCAAGCAAAUCCCAUAAAGUUGUUCUCAGUUCGGAUUGUAGUCUGCAACUCGACUACAUGAAGCUGGAAUCGCUAGUAAUCGUAGAUCAGCAUGCUACGGUGAAUACGUUCCCGGGUCU
rnacentral:rRNA from 1 species